rnacentral:rRNA from 1 species
AGCGAACGCUGGCGGCAGGCCUAACACAUGCAAGUCGAACGAACCUUUCGGGGUUAGUGGCGGACGGGUGAGUAACACGUGGGAACGUGCCUUUAGGUUCGGAAUAACUCAGGGAAACUUGUGCUAAUACCGAAUGUGCCCUUCGGGGGAAAGAUUUAUCGCCUUUAGAGCGGCCCGCGUCUGAUUAGCUAGUUGGUUGAGGUAAUGGCUCACCAAGGCGACGAUCAGUAGCUGGUCUGAGAGGAUGAUCAGCCACAUUGGGACUGAGACACGGCCCAAACUCCUACGGGAGGCAGCAGUGGGGAAUCUUGCGCAAUGGGCGAAAGCCUGACGCAGCCAUGCCGCGUGAAUGAUGAAGGUCUUAGGAUUGUAAAAUUCUUUCACCGGGGACGAUAAUGACUGUACCCGGAGAAGAAGCCCCGGCUAACUUCGUG